CUGAGCGGAGCCAAUCGAGCAUAACGUCACAUAAUAUGUCCUCUUUGGAUAUAUAUAUGUAGAAGGUAUUGUGAUUAUGAUGAUAAUUAUUUUAUUCUUUCGAGCAUAGAGAAACGAAAAUAACUAAUAUUUUUUUCAAUAAUACCGAGAGAUAUUGGCACAAGUAUCAAACCACAUCAUAUCGUCGAAUUCGAUUCGCUAUUAUACGUACUUGUAAAGUUCUUAUUCACGACGUCAACAAUGAAAGUUUAAGCUAGAGCUUGAACAUUUGAAUAUGGUGCCAUUGUAAUGAUGAGCAAUUGCGGGUUUAGCAUAAUAAUGAACAUUAGCUGCCGCAUUCGUGAUCGAAAACAGCAACACUUUUAUCGCAAGAAAUACAUACGAUCGAGAUCUCGCACAGCUCCAGCCAACUCAUCUUCAUAUCGCCGUUGAAACGAAAUAAUCUAGAAAGUACAUUUUCAAGCAGCUCAGAUAGAAGUUAAUAAUUAACAUGUUCUUUCCGAAAAUUACACCAGUAGAUAAAUCUAUAAAAUUCCUAAU